UAGCCUGCUUUAGGUGUCCGGAUGCUGCGAGGGUGAGGGCGGGGCCGUUUUCCCCUGCGUGAUGUAGCACAGAGGAUACGCAUACGGACGCAGACGACAUCUGAGACGAAAACUCUUAUUACGGUUGGAUUUUGAAGAUGAAAUGAUCAGCAAUGCUUGGCAAUACACUUCGGAAGUGCAAUGGAUUUGCGUUCAUUUUAAUCUAACCUAAAAACAAAACAAAAAAACAUUGGACUCAGCCGUGCAAUCUGCAAACACGGACUCGCCUCCCUCGUAAACAGCAUAGUGGAAAAUAUUCGUUCCGUUUUGAUUCCAUCUCGAAUCCACUGUUUUCUCAAGGAACCUCAGCAUGGCGUGGCCCUGCAUCAGCAGGGCGUGCUGCAUGGCCCGCUUCUGGAACCAGAUGGACAAGGCUGACAUUGCGGUGCCUUUGGUAUUCACCAAGUAUACGGACGCCUCGGAGAUGCAGCACGUCCAGCUGCAGCCUCCAUUACGGGCCGGGGUCGCCAUAGAAACGCAGCCGCCUCGCACCCAGCGCCGCACCGCCGCUCCGGGUCCACGCGCGCCAAGGAGGUGCGUCUCUGAGGAGCGAGUGUGCAGCUCUGUCAUGAGGGAGGACUUUAAACACUGGAGAGUGCGACCCGAACCCAGCUGUAAACCCAAGAACGAGUACCACGGUCCAGAAAUACCCUUCAACAGCGAGACUCAGUACCAGAAAGACUACAAGGCUUGGCCCAUUCCGAAAAGGUACGACCACCCGUGGAUACCUAAACCACCCGCCGCUAUCUCCGCCGGUGACGACCGACCAUUGCACAGGUCCAGACACGGAAAACAUCACCUGGCGGAUGGUGAAAACGGCGUGGAGAAAAGCACCAUCGCUGACAGAAUGCAAGAGAAAGACCUCAUCCAAGGCCACGAGAGGAAAAAGAGACCGAGCAAAAAGGCAGAAGGUGAGAAGAAAGUAGUCCUCAAGGUGGAAGGAGAAGGACGGGCUGCUGUGGAUGCCGUCAACAGGCAAAUUAAACAGGAGAUUGCAGCCGGCAGUUCUUACAAAACCGAAUUUAAGGCUUACAGAGAUGUGAAGCCUACACGGAUGAUCCGGGCCAAGUCCCAGUACCUACCUCCGGACGAGAAGACUCGGCUGGAAACCAGCUAUAGUGCGACAUUCAAAGGACAAGCUCCACUUCAGCCUACUGACAAUAAGGCCCAGGAGAGGAGGAGGAUACGCAGUUUGUACAGCGAGCCAUACAUUGACCCCAUUAAACAGGUGGACAGGUCUACUGUCCCUCGCACUAAAGCCAGAAAGCCCCGGGCCGUAGCAUCGGGCCAGGGCAAUCCGGUGAAGAAAGCCAAAGAUAAGCAGAGCACGGCACUGAGGGGCUCCAGGAAGAUGACCUCGGAGAACCAGCCCAUGAGCCGGCCAGCGUUGGGGGACAAGGAGAAAAGUAAAGAGAUGAACAACAAACUGGCUGAAGCGAAAGAGGUUGUGCUAAAACAACACCACUACGUACAACUCUGCCAGCCAAUCCGAGAUAUUGGCUGGGUACAGACCCUAAAGCAACACCUGUGGGGCUGUGCGCUCCCCAAUCCCAGUGGUGUUGGAUUCAGGGGGUUGCCUGUUGUCACCUCCUGCAUGUAAGCUUCCUUACAUGGAACCCUUCAGCUUGCAUGAAACUGGAUGGAAUGUACUGUAGCCAUGUUUUUUAUGUUGUUUGCUAUAAUUGCAUGCGAAUUGUUUAAUAAGGGGAGUUGGUCGUGAAAUAAAUGUCAGUUUUGACCUAGUUUCUCAUACUCAUGUAAUGACAUCACUACAGUGGAUAUGGAAAGUGAACACACCCCUGUUAAGAUGCAGCGAGAUUUAAAGUUCUGUGUUUCUAUUUAUAAUCCAUAGUUUUAUUGAAUAAUCAAGCUAAUAGCCGUCUUUACGAUACUUUUUGUAUCCACUGUAUAUACCACAUAUGCACAGUACCGUAUUGUCCGGACUAUAAGGCGCACCUAAAAACCAAAAAUUUUCUCCAAAGCCGACAGUGCGCCUUAUAGUCCGGUGCACCUUAUAGUCCGGAAAAUACGGUAGUUGAUUGUUAAGUUACACUUGUCACGGAGUCGGAAUAUGUUCCCAAGCAUGCCUUCACUGUUUUUCUAUCGGACCUGCAAUCGAAAACGUUAUCGAGAAUAUUUGUGGAGUGUUAGCCGGUAAGUACAAAAUAGGUGUGGAAAUAGGCAGUAGGUUCAAUCUCAUUUAGAUGUGAUUUAAAAAAAAAUAUUCAGGCAAUAUUUAAACGUCUUUUUGUUUUCUUUCCCCUUUCUUGACACCUUAACCACAUGCU